rnacentral:tRNA from 1 species
GUCCCUUUCGUCUAGUGGUUAGGACAUUACCCUUUCACGGUAGUAACACGGGUUCGAGUCCCGUAAGGGAUA